UACGGAAGGCAGCAGUGGGGAAUAUUGCACAAUGGGCGCAAGCCUGAUGCAGCCAUGCCGCGUGUAUGAAGAAGGCCUUCGGGUUGUAAAGUACUUUCAGCGGGGAGGAAGGCGAUGCGGUUAAUAACCGCGUCGAUUGACGUUACCCGCAGAAGAAGCACCGGCUAACUCCGUGCCAGCAGCCGCGGUAAUACGGAGGGUGCAAGCGUUAAUCGGAAUUACUGGGCGUAAAGCGCACGCAGGCGGUCUGUUAAGUCAGAUGUGAAAUCCCCGGGCUUAACCUGGGAACUACAUUUUGAAACUGGCAGGCUUGAGUCUUGUAGAGGGGGUUAGAAAUUCCAGGUGUAGCGGUGAAAUGCGUAGAGAUCUGGAGGAAUACCGGUGGCGAAGGCGGCCCCUGGGACAAAGCUGACGCUCAGGUGCGAAAGCGUGGGGAGCAAACGAGGAUUAGAUACC
rnacentral:rRNA from 1 species